CAUCACUUAAUUCACACUGGAAAGGGUUAUCAAGUCCCAAAUGUCAUUGUGUUUUUUUAGUAAACAUACCUGUUUUGUAUUAAAACAAACUGCAUCACAUGGUUUGGUGCUUUUCAUGUUGAAUCUUUUAGGUUGGGGUCUCUUGAUGGAAGUGUUUCAUGUUUUUACUGGAUCUGUUCAAACAUGUGCCCAGGUAGUUCGUGAGGGCCACCUAGUGGCCAUUGCUCCUGGUGGUGUUCUUGAAGCUCAGUUCAGUGAUGAGAAUUAUAACCUCCUCUGGGGUAGGAGAACUGGAUUUGCUAAAGUUGCCCUUCAGACACAAUGUCCAGUUAUUCCUGUCUUUACGAAGAAUGUCAGGGAAGCCUUUCGGUCCAUUAGUGUUGGAAGAUCAUUGCUUAGAAAGUUAUAUGACAAAACAAGAAUACCUGUUGUACCUAUAUAUGGUGGAUUUCCAGUAAGACUUCGGACAUACAUCGGUAAACCUGUGUCAUAUGAUGAAAAUACAAGUCCAGAAGAAUUGGUAGAAAAAACAGCUGAAGCUGUCAGGAAUCUCAUUUAUCAACACCAAAAAUUACCUGGGAACAUCUUAAGAGCCCUGAUGGAGCGUGUUUAUGAACCAAAAAAAGAAAAAUUGAAGUGAUUGUUACUUUUUUUAUUAGCUCCCAGAAAUCAUUUGUUCAACCUCUUAAAGCAGUAUUCCAUAAGCACAGAUCUGUUUUGGUUUAUGUUAAAGUUUGUGUGUUAUUUUCAUGUUGUAGAAUUGGUGAAUUGUACUUAUGUUUGGAAGAACUCUUUCCAGAUAAUUUAUUUCCUACAAGACUUAAUUGAUGUGAUCUUUCAAGGACUUUAUUUAUUUUGCUAACUACUGGGAAAAUGCUUGACAUCCAAAGUGUUAAAGUCUAAAAUAAUUAUAAGGCACUGGUUUGGUUAUCAGAAGAUUCCCUUACCUCAAGGAUAAAACCCAAUAGUAAAAAACUUACUAACUAAUACUGAUUUUUUAGGACAGUUAUCUUGCAUGUGGUCAAAUAUGCGUCAAAGGUGCUAACUGAAGGACACACCCGGGUCUGUUGACAGUUUAAUAUGUAACAUUUAAGGACAACAAGGGACCUAUUAAUCCAUCUAGGCUGUCCCAUUCACAAUAAAUGAUUUGAAAGAAAAACUAACUCAGAACUAGCCCUUGUCAUUCAAAUGUUUAUCAAGCCUUUCUUUAAACUACAAUAAAUGUACUGCUUCCGUCACAUCUAAAAGCCACACAUUCAAAAAGUCACCCCAUUAGAAAAAGAAAAUUGUCUUAGUUUCUGUGAUGCCUACCUUGCCAAAAUUUAUAUUUGUGUCCUUAGUCUCACCAAUUCUACCAUUAAGUAUGUAAAAAAGAUUAUGGAUCAACCUUAUCCAUGCAAAUGCUUACAUUAUCUUUAUUUCAUUUUCGUAAUGCAUAACUUCCAACUACAAGAACUGUAUGAAUGGGAAUAAAGCUGUUGUUGUUACAUAUCUAAAUAAUAAUUGGUUAGUUACAUAAAAUAGAGGUUAGCAAACCAUGAACUAAUUCGGUAUAGUGUUCUAAUAAAGAAGGUACAUUAUUCAUGAACUAAUUGGGUAUAGUGUUCUAAUAAAGAAGGUAUGUUAUUUAUGAACUAAUUGGGUAUAGUGUUCUAAUAAAGAAGGUACGUUAUUCAUGAACUAAUUGGGUAUAGUGUUCUAAUAAAGAAGGUACGUUAUUCAUGAACUAAUUGGGUAUAGUGUUCUAAUAAAGAAGGUACGUUAUUCAUGAACUAAUUGGGUAUAGUGUUCUAGUAAAGAAGGUACAUUAUUCAUGAACUAAUUGGGUAUAGUGUUCUAAUAAAGAAGGUAUGUUAUUCAUGAACUAAUUGGGUAUAGUGUUCUAAUAAAGAAGGUACGUUAUUCAUGAACUAAUUGGAUAUAGUGUUCUAGUAAAGAAGGUACAUUAUUCAUGAACUAAUUGGGUAUAGUGUUCUAAUAAAGAAGGUACGUUAUUCAUGAACUAAUUGGGUAUAGUGUUCUAAUAAAGAAGGUAUGUUAUUUUCAUUCUGUAAAACAAAAAAAAAGGUGUUUUAAUUGUAUGUUAUUUAUGAUUUAACUUGUUUGGAUUUUAAAGCAUUCUAAUGUUGUAUGUAACACUGUAGAUAUAUAUAAAAUAUCUGAUGGACAAUCAUAGAAAUAGAUAAAAGAGGGGGAACCCAAGAGGGGUAUAUGCUUACUCCUCUCCUCAACAGGAGAAUGUGCUAGUGGAAAUAAGGAUAUUUCAUUUUCUCACUCAUUCUUCAGUUUUUCAUUCAAAAAAGCAAGUAUAUUAAACUUUUGUAAAAAGCUAGUAAAUUCUACUUUUCUUAAAUUAUAAGUGGGUGUAAAAUAUCUUGUUAAUUAGUUAUUGUCAAAGAUUUUUUCCCAAGCAGGUAUAUUCUGAUGGCACUUUUUUUCCUACAUAAUGCUAAACUUUCCUUUGUCAUAUGCAUGACAACUAGUGCAACUAUAAAUUGUAUUUUUUUGAUAUAAGUUCAAAUAGUUGAUGAUAAUUAAAGUGAAGUAAAGCAGGAAAGAUCUUUGAUUUUAGAAAAGUAAUGAUAGAAAUAAUUGUUACAAAAGAUGUUUUCAUGGUUAGUGAUUUAUUCCAGUGUUAGGAUUAAUAAUUCAAAAACUCAUCAUGUGAUUUAAUGGAGUGUGUGUAUUUUAUUUUACAAUAUACUUGUUGUGAAAUAUUUUUAAUGGUUAAAACUUUUUGAUAUAAUAAUCCAUGUUACUACAAUAUGAUGAUUAGAUUGUUAUUGUUUGGGUAGUACGUUGUAUAUGAAACUUUCAGAUUGUUUAAUUUUGUAUAAUUAUUACGUCAUAAGAAACUUCAGAGAUAUCGCAUAAAAUCUUGCAAGUUGUGUAACUUCUGAGUCGACAGAGGGUAUUUAUUAAAGUAAAUAGGGAAGGUAUCUGAUGGUAACAAUCCUGAAGAAGGUUAUUUCUGUAUUCUUAAAGACAUUUCUAAGACCUAUAUUACAUAUAUAUUGUUUUUUUUUCCCAAAAAACCAUAACUUUAGUUGAGAUUUAAGAGUUGAAAAGUGAAAUAAUGAUGCAGAUGCCUGAUGUGUAAUACCAUUCCUAACUUAGAAGUGUUACAUCAUGUCGAAUGUUAAGUAGAUGAGUUUUUUUAGGACAAUACAAUUGUGAGUUUAGGGAUGCUUAAUUAAUUUUCAGACCGUAUCAUUAUGUAUGUUGAAUUACAUUUUAACUUUUCAAUAACAUAACAGGAAAGAUUUUUCUUGUUUCAGGAAUUGUUGUCAGAAAACCACUGAUUUGUUUAUAUGUCAUUCACUAUCGGUGGAAGUCACAAACUGCAUCAUAUUGAGAAAUUAUAUGUUUAUGCUUGUUACAAUACUCAGUGUAAAGAAGUGACAAAACAAAAUUGGUGAAAUCCCUCAUUUUCUGUGGAACAUACAUAGGAGUAGUUAGCUUUAAAACUUAUGGGUCAUUAUCCAUACUUUUAGGGUUACGUACUAUUCAUAUGUUAGCAUUAUAAAUUAUAUGGUGUUGUAGUGCUGAGGCAAAAUAUUUGAUAUUAAUUCUGUCCCAUAUUUAAAUUAAGGCAAUCAGUAACCUUUGACAACCGUGCCAGUAAACUCUGACAUAUUAGGACUUGGAUGUCAUUAUUACAGAAACCCUCAGCAUUAUCACCCCAGGAAGAAUUGGUCAGUUUGUAUUUAAGUAAUUACAUAUCAUAUUUUAGGUAAUGAGUGACUCAGAAAGGUGUUCCUCACUCAUGUUAUUGGGUUUCCUUAUGUUUCAAGUAUUUUUUUUUGUAGUUAUUAUUCUUACAGAAGAAAAGUCUGUUUAGCUACUAUGGUCAGUACUGUACCAAUGUUUGAUGGUGCCCUGUGUGAUAUAUAUAAAUUUGGCACUUCCCAAUGCAACCCAUUAAUUCGCUUUGUUAGUCAAUCGGGCAGUCAGCACUCCCCUUUGAGUUGGCGCCCUGUGCAAGCACUGAGCUUGCACAACCCUCGGUAUGGCCCCGACUAUGGUGGGCAUAGCACAAAUAGCUCAAUUUGUCGUUUUGUGCUUAACAACAAACAAACAAAUUAAAUUGAAGCUGAUGAAUAUCUAGAAAGAAUGUUAGUGAUUUUCAUGUAUAUCUGGCAUAAAACCCAAUAAGGUUUGGGUGAAAAAAAAAAUUUGGUGUAUUGCUGAAUACUUCAAGUAUAAUUUUUUGUAAUGAAUUCUUUGAUUUGUAAUUAAACUGAACAUAUGUGUGUGUGUGUGUGUUUAUGUUGUUAGUUUCUCUAUUUCAUUGAAAUUUUAUUUCUAAAAAUGCUAAUUGAAGGUGCUAAUUUUUUUUCUGCUUUCAAGAAACAAAAAUAUUUUGAGUUAUAAUUUUCUAAGCUGUUAGAUAACUUAAAAUUAGUUCAAUCUUUGCUGAGUGAUUGGGAUGUUUUUCUCUCUUGGCUAACUAGUGUAAUUGUUUAUUUGAAAGCAAAAAGUGAUGGUAUGAAGCAGUUUAUCAGGUAAAAUAUUGUGUUGCUAAUAGAUGGAAACAAGUAUUUAAUGUUUGUAUUUUCUUCUUCUUUUAAUUAUUUUAAUUACUUCAGAGUUAGAAAUGGUUUUCUUUCCAUUAUUUAGUUUAAUACAUAUCGUAUAGGUGUACUGAUUUUUGUUUUGCUUUAAAGAAUUCUGCAGGGCAGGAACAGCAGUUUAUCCAACGUCUGGAAUCCCAGAUCCACCGGAUCUGUAUAUAUAUUAUUUUGUUGCAAAUUAAAUUCCUUUUUUGUUUUUAUCAGGAAGGCAUAGGAAUAAAAAUAUAUAUUGGUAGCUUGGAAGAUGGAAUACAGAGAAUGGUGUCCUUGGCUGACAAAGUUUUGUUGGAUCACAUAUCUGAAGUUAAGGAUCAAGUUGGAUUCAAAUACCAUAGUCGAGGUGUUCAGAUUAUAUUAAUGAUCUAAUUAGUGUUUUUUGUAACUAUGAGAAAAAUAGCAGAGUAUUCACAUACAUUAUAAGUUGAUCACAGGUGUGGUGUGUUUCCAAAGGUUUGCAAUGAUAAGUGUAUGGAAUGAAAAAAAAAAGGGAAACAAUAAUACUGCCCAAGAAUUUUUUACAAGUGACUUCACUAUCCAAUAAGAUGCAGUAAAAGUACUUUUUUAGAAGAUUAGGUAAUUUCUUCAUAAUAUAAAUUUGUAAUUGUUUAAAAAUAUCCUUAUAACAUUUGAUUCUCACACUGUAAUAAAAUUUGACUUUUGUGUUUUUAAUUUAUUAUGUUAUGAGUAGAAUAUAUAACAUAGAAACCGGUGAUUUUGAAAAUGUGUACAUUUUUUAGGAUAACAGUUUUUAUUUCUAAUAAAAAAUUUAUUUCUAUUAUUCCGUGAUAUAAAGUUAGCAACAAAUGGAAGUGUUUUUCAGCCUGUGUUUAGACAGGUUUUAUGUGAUCAAUUGAUCUUUAUACAAAAAAUUGUAUAAAUAUAUAGAAACAGAAAUAGAUAACAGCAGAAGUUGUGUAACAGUUAAAAAUCUAAAAUUUUCUUCAGUAUUAUGAAAAAAUAAUUUAAUUAAAUAUAAAUUGUUUUUAAUUCUGGCUAAAAACCAUUUAUGAUACAAAAGCAGUUAUAAGAUAUGAUACUAGAAUGUGAAGGUUUUUUGUCUUAACUAUAAAUAUUUUAUUGUGCUUAAUAAAAAACGUGAAGAAACAAAUGUACUUGUCAACCUAAGGGAAUUGAUGUAUGUAUGUAAGUAUAUUUUAUCAUUGCUUGUGAGCAAAGCCUUACUGUUUAUCCUGCUAACAAUGUAGGAAACAAUAAUAAAAGUAUAGAGGUUUUCAAAAUAAAUAAGAUUCGUUUGUUAACUAAUCUUCCACUUAUAAAACUGAAAACCAGUGUUCUUCCCUAACUAUAUUAGUUUAGGAAAUCACAAAAAAAAACUUGUGUAUAUAAAGUGAAAGAAAUAUCUGUUUAUGGAUGUGGAAAAGCUGUGGAUUUAGGAGCUGGCGAGCCUGGUUCGAAGCAUGCAAUACCACAAAAUAAUCAACACAUUUAACUUGUGGACGUGUUAUAAUGUUAAUGCGCUGCUGACUGCCUGCUAUCCAGGUCACUAGCUCAAAAUUAUGAACGGCAGUAGAUAGCCAUGGUGUAUUUGCUGUAAAUGUAAUUAACGUUUUAAAGUAGUGCCAUUAAAUUAAGUUAGCUUUGCGAGGUUAGGGAUAAAUAACCACAUUAAUAAACUCGAAGUUAUUUCUCUUUAAAUAUCUGUCUUUGAUAAACUAUGUUAAGUACACAUACUUAAAUAUACUUAUGUUUACGAUAUUCUUGUCGUAUCAUCAUAUAUACAUACUUCUGUAUAUUAAUAUUGAUUACAUCGUAUUUUAAUGUCUUGCUUAUUAAAAGUAUUGUUCACUACUUACAUUCUGAUCAAUGUUUAGUAGCAAAACAUUGUAUAUAAUCCUUAAUCUGUCAUAUUGUAUGUGUGUGUUUUAUUAUAGCAGAGCCACAUUGGGCUAUCUGCUGUGUCCACCGAGCGGAAUCGACUCCUGGUUUUAACGUUGUUAAUAUCGGGGGACAUUUACCCUAUUGUGACGGAUUUAAUAAAUUAUUUAGUGUGUUAUGUGAGAUGUCCAUUAAUGUAAAAUAUCUUAAAUUCUGUGGUAACAAUAAGACGUUUUUAUUCUUCUACUGCAAUAAAACAAAAUAAAGCUGAUAAAAAACUCGUACAAAUAGUAAUAGAAACUCGGAACUAUAUAUAAAAAAAACUUAUUACUGGUAGAAUGAAUAGAACUUCUUAUAUUUAAGUGUUACUUGAGAACCUAUGGUUGUGCCUACACAUAAUCAUUGCACGUGAGUUUUUGAACAAAUAAAGCUGUGAUUAAAAUCAGUUUCACUGUGACGUAAUGUCACAUCAACCACCGAUCAAUAAAUAUUGCUUUGCCAGC